rnacentral:rRNA from 1 species
UACGGAGGGAGCUAGCGUUGUUCGGAAUUACUGGGCGUAAAGCGCACGUAGGCGGCUUUGUAAGUUAGAGGUGAAAGCCCGGGGCUCAACUCCGGAACUGCCUUUAAGACUGCAUCGCUUGAAUCCAGGAGAGGUGAGUGGAAUUCCGAGUGUAGAGGUGAAAUUCGUAGAUAUUCGGAAGAACACCAGUGGCGAAGGCGGCUCACUGGACUGGUAUUGACGCUGAGGUGGCGAAAGCGU